GACGAACGCUGGCGGCGUGCUUAACACAUGCAAGUCGAACGGAAAGACCCUGCUUUUGUGGGGUGCUCGAGUGGCGAACGGGUGAGUAACACGUGAGUAACCUGCCCUUGACUUUGGGAUAACUUCAGGAAACUGGGGCUAAUACCGGAUAGGAGCUCCUGCUGCAUGGUGGGGGUUGGAAAGUUUCGGCGGUUGGGGAUGGACUCGCGGCUUAUCAGCUUGUUGGUGGGGUAGUGGCUUACCAAGGCUUUGACGGGUAGCCGGCCUGAGAGGGUGACCGGCCACAUUGGGACUGAGAUACGGCCCAGACUCCUACGGGAGGCAGCAGUGGGGAAUAUUGCACAAUGGGCGGAAGCCUGAUGCAGCAACGCCGCGUGCGGGAUGACGGCCUUCGGGUUGUAAACCGCUUUCGCCUGUGACGAAGCGUGUGUGACGGUAAUGGGUAAAGAAGCACCGGCUAACUACGUG
rnacentral:rRNA from 1 species